UCUCCGCUGGUGAACCAGCGGAGGGAUCAUUACAGGGUUGCAAAACUCCCAAACUCUUGUGAACGUUACUUAUCCCGUUGCUUCGGCGGGCGGCCCGGGCCCCGCGCCCGGCGCCCCCCGGCCCCCCGUGGGCGCCCGCCGGAGGUAAACCAAACCCUUGAAUUGCAUGGCCACUCUGAGUCUUCUGUACUGAAUAAGUCAAAACUUUCAACAACGGAUCUCUUGGUUCUG
rnacentral:misc_RNA from 1 species